rnacentral:tRNA from 1 species
GCGAGAGUGGUGGAACGGCAUACACGUCAGACUUAGGAUCUGAUGCCUCAGGGCUUGGGGGUUCGAGUCCCCCCUCUCGCACCA